UCGGGGGUGAUGGGCAGCAGCAUGGUCCCGCUGCUGUCAUCGCCGCACAGGCCGGGCCUGGAGCAGUGACAGUUACCCUACCAGGGCGGAGCCUUGCUUCGAGAUGAGCCCGCAGAGGAGCUGUGGGGGCUAAUUUGGGGCAGGGGUUCCUGUCCACCCACGGCAGGGCAGAAGGUGGCCCUUUCCAGCUUGGAGUGGUACCUCGGGAUGCUAUCUUGACUGACUUCCCAAAGCGUUUCUGCUCAGCUUCGUUCUGUCUUCCACGAGAGAAGAGAUCAACACCCACUUGGUCCCAACCUCCUUCAUAGAGUUGAUGAGAGCCAGAGAAUCUCUGCUGAACCUAUUUUUCUCCAGGCUGAACAACUCCAGUUCUCUGGGCUGCUCCUCACAAGACCUGUGGUCCAGACUCUUCACCAGCUGCUUUGUCAUUCUCUGGACACACCCUUGCUGCCUAAAGUGCGGUACAUACCUUCUUCCCUGGCUCCCCUGUUGAAAG